rnacentral:lncRNA from 1 species
CUUGCUGGAGGGAGAGCACACAGAUGAGCGGGUGCAGAGGCCAGGAUGUGUGCUUCUGGGAAACUGGCAGGAACAGAACUCUACGGGCCUGCAGCAGCAUCUAUGGGUUGCCAGUUACUCCCAGAGUCCCAGAGGGCAUGUGUUACAGUGCACUCUUUUAGCUUCGCCAUCCGUGGAUGGCUUAAGUAUUAAACAGCUCAGCAGAGGCUCAGUGUGACAGUCUUUUGCACCUGAAACUGGGUCCUUGUCGGCACCCAGGAGGAGUGAGGAUGCAUGGACAAAUAGGAGGGUGGUGAAUGCAGAAGAUUUUAUUGCCUAUAGAAGUUGUUUCCAGCAGGAAGGAGGCACUGGGAAGGGGAUGGAGCGGGAAGGUAAUCUUCGCCUGAGUUUCGACCAUCCCCAACCGAACUCCUCUCCGAUCAUUGUCUCCGAUGUCCAGCUGCUGCUUUUCUGGACUUUCAGCAUUUUGUAUAUUUGAGGAAGAAGACAUUUUGGAGACAUUCUAUCUUAAAAGGAUAAAGAAGUAAUUGACCUGUUCUAGUUGGUUAAUUUCUUUUUUACUCAACAUAAACUAGGUGGAAUGUGUUAUCAUAACAAUAGACAUAUAGAUUGAAAAGAAAGAAAAAGGUCAGCAAACUUCCCAGCAGGCAUUGAGUAAACUGCCUAAGGUAACACUGCAAUUUCUAUUGCCUUCUAAACUACUGGAUCACCCACUAUUUUUCAAACAUAAUACUAUAUUCGGUAAAGAUCAAAAUGAGAUAUGAUAUUUGCCCUUAAUCAACUUGCAUUUUAAUUGCAAUGCCAAUUCAUGUGAAUAUGAAGACAUAAAUGAGUAAGAAUGU